rnacentral:rRNA from 1 species
AUGAACAUAGUGAGCGCCCACUCAAGAGAUGACAACCUGAAGGCAGCAGAUGCCCUGUUCCAGAAGAAAAUCGCUAAUCUUGAGAAGGACUUCAAUACCAAGCUCGACUACACAGCGAAGCAGGCCGUCGAGGUUGUCCUGGCCAAGCGGGCACUGCAGGAGAGCAACGCCCCGGACCAGCCUCCUCCAUGCACUGGCGGCACCUCCUCCGGAGGCUCAAGCGGCUCCCCUUUGUUACCUAAGGCGGAAAUGAGACUCACAAACAAACGCGGGUGGUUGUAUCAUCUUAGUUUUGCCUCUUUUUGCAAGCAUACUAUCUAG